GUGGGGAAUUUUGGACAAUGGGGGGAACCCUGAUCCAGCCAUCCCGCGUGUGCGACGAAGGCCUUCGGGUUGUAAAGCACUUUUUGCAGGAAAGAAAUUGCGCGGGCUAAUACCUCGUGUAGAUGACGGUACCUGCAGAAUAAGCACCGGCUAACUACGUGCCAGCAGCCGCGGUAAUACGUAGGGUGCAAGCGUUAAUCGGAAUUACUGGGCGUACAGCGUGCGCAGGCGGUUCGGAAAGAAGGAUGUGAAAUCCCAGGGCUUAACCUGGGAACUGCAUUCUGAACUACCGGGGUAGAGUGUGUCAGAGGGAGGUGGAAUUCCACGUGUAGCAGUGAAAUGCGUAGAGGUGUGGAGGAACACCGAUGGCGAAGGCAGCCUCCUGGGAUAACACUGACGCUCAUGCACGAAAGCGUGGGGAGCAAACAGGAUUAGAAACCCUUGUAGUCC
rnacentral:rRNA from 1 species